rnacentral:tRNA from 1 species
GACAAAAUGGCUGAGUAUUGAAGCGAUAAAUUGUAAAUUUAUUUACGGAUGUAAAUCCUUUUGUCA